UCACCAUGUAACAAAUGCAGACAUCUCUGAGAUCACCAUGUAGUGAGAAAGUCCAAGCUGGUGGCAUGAAGAGGCCACAUGGAAAGGGCUAAAAAAGGGGCCAGCCUCAGUCAUCCCAGCUGAGCACCUGGCUAGGAGUAAAGGAGGACCCCAUGGAUAUCCAGCCCGGUAAGAUGACAUCAGCCCCAACCACCAACUGACCAUGCACACAAGACAUCGUGAGUGAGGCUGCCCACUGGAGCCUGGCCAGUGGGACUGCAGAGUAACUCAUUGUCGUGCAGGGACUCCUGGGAUGGUGUUGCCCAGUGACACAAUCCCAGUGUGGCCAUUUCUGAUCCCGAGAAAGCAGUCAGGAGUGGGUGGCUGCAGUUACAGUUCAUCGAGUCCUGCUGGUUCAAGUCAUGAGUCCUGAAUUCCCUGGGAGGAGCCACUAAAGAAAUGCAGAAGAAGGAAAUCCUUGCAAUAAAGCCAUCAAACUGCCAGUGGGAAGGGUGCCCAGGUAACCUGCCCACGUCAGGACGGCCAGGAGAUGGCGGAACCAGAAUCUAAGCCCACUCCCAUCUGACUUCAACGUCUGUGCCCCUGAUGUUUGCACCGAGUCACCUCCUAAGACUUUCUGAAACUGGAUCACAUCCAUUUAUCUCUGAGAGAAAUGCAAGCUUUAAAAAA